CAAAGUGUAGUAUCUGUUCUUAUCAGCUUAAUAUCUGAUACGUGCCUCAAUGAGGCACUUCGAUAUUAAACUGAUUUUUGGACUUAGAUGAGGUGUCCGAGGCUUGCUUCGCCCUCAUCACGGGUUGCC
rnacentral:snRNA from 1 species